UACGUAGGGGGCAAGCGUUGUCCGGAAUCAUUGGGCGUAAAGAGCGCGUAGGCGGCCCUGUAAGUCCGCUGUGAAAGUCAAGGGCUCAACCUUGAAUGCCGGUGGAUACUGCGGGGCUAGAGUGCAGAAGGGGCAACUGGAAUUCUCGGUGUAGCGGUGAAAUGCGUAGAUAUCGAGAGGAACACCUGCGGCGAAGGCGGGUUGCUGGGCUGACACUGACGCUGAUGCGCGAAAGCUAGGGGAGCGAACGGG
rnacentral:rRNA from 1 species